rnacentral:lncRNA from 1 species
UUACAGGCAUGAGCCAUGGUGCCUGGCCAAAAUUAAUACUUUCUAUAUUAAAUUUACAUAUAUAUAUAUUUUUUUGUUUUUGAUACCAGGUCUCACGCUGUCACUUAGGCUGGAGUACAGUGGCACAACCUCUGCUCACUGCAGCCUCCACCUGCCAGGCUCAAGCAAUUCUUCUGACUUAGCCUCCUGAGUAGCUGGGAUUACAGGUAAGUGCCGCCACACCGAGCUAAUUUUUGUGUUUUUUGUAGAGAUGGGGUUUCGCCAUGUUUCCCAGACUGGUCUCAAACUCCUGAGCUCAAAGCAAUUCACCCACCUUGGCCUCCCAAAGUGCUGGGAUUACAGGUGUGAGCCACCUUGCUCAUUCUAGUUUAAACUUUUGAGUGGUUUGUGUCUCCUGAUUGGACUCCUACAAAUACAGAAUUGAUGGUAGGAAGGGUACCAGGAGAUAGACCCACACAGAUGGGAUUUGGGAAUAAGUUUGGUUAUCCAAGGAGCAGUGCUGAGCUCCUUGCUAAUGGGAUAUGGGAUGCUGGUGAUUUCCAGGAAGUGACCUCACAAUGACUCAAGCUACCACUUACUGUUGAUUGUGAUGAAAUACCAGGUGAAGGCCGGGUGCGGCAGCUCACCCCUGUAAUCCCAGCACUUUGGGAGGCCAAGGCGGGCGGAUCACUAGGUCAGAAGAUCGAGACCAUCCUGGCUAACACGGUGAAACCCCGUCUCUACUAAAAAUACACAAAAUUAGCUGGGCAUGGUGGCGGGCACCUAUAGUCCCAGCUACUCGGGAGGCUGAGGCAGGAGAAUGGUGGGAACCUGGGAGGCGGAGCUUGCAGCGAGCCGAGAUCCUGUCACUGCCCUCCAGCCUGGGCGACAGAGUGAGACUCCGUCUCAAAAACAAAAAAAAGAAAUACCAGGUGAAGCAUAUGCCCUGCAAGCUUAGGGGUGCUACAGUUGACCACUGUAGCAGUAAAGAUGACUGAAGAAUAGCAUGGGAUGGAUCCUUUCGAAUGCACUUGAGCAGCAGUCUCCAACCACAGGGCCACAGAGCCAGAGGUGAGCAGCAGCUGGAUCUACCAUGAAAGACUUCUGAAUCCAGGAAAAGAGACUGACUGGGUAACAUGUUAUUCAGGGUCUCCCUCUCUUGUCCAAGGCUGGAGUGUAGUAGUGCUAUCACAGCUGACUGCAGCCUCAACCUUCCAGGCUGAAGCGAUCCUCCCAUCUCAACUUCCCACGUGGCUGAGACUAUAGGUGCUUGCCACUAUGCCCAACUAAUAUUUGGAAUUUUCCUAUAUGUGGAUUCCAGAGGGGUGACAGCGAAACGUGAGUAAGCAUGGAUUUUGGUAUAUGCAGAGAUGGGGGGCUGGAACUAAUUCUGUAUACUGAGGGACGACUGUAUAUGUUUUUACAAUUACGCUGUAGGAUACAUACUGUUGCAUAGCCUUGAAAAUAAUAAUUUUUAAUUGAGUGGAAUAAUAAUAAUAUUGAUAAAAGUAGCAGCUGGCCAGGUGUGGUGGCUCACACUGGUAAUCGCAACACUUUGGGAGGCUGAGGCAGGAGGAUGGCUUGAGGCCAAGAGUUUGCGAUAGGCCUUGGAAACAAAGGGAGUCACCAUCCCUACAGAAAAAUACAUGAAUUGGCCGGGCGCGGUGGCUCACGCCUGUAGUCCCAGCACUUUGGGAGGCCGAGGCGGGC